GUAAGAUCUUGAUGAAGUCCAGGAAUGGAAGUUCUCUGUAAUGUCAUCAGUGUUUAAAUCAUUGUUUACAUAUAAAACAAUCCCACAGUUUUAGUAAUAAAACAAGCUUCGUACCUAAAAAAAAAAGAAGAAGACAAGGUUUCAAUAUAUGCAGUUUGUGGAGCAAUAUGUUAUGUAGUCUGUAAACACAGUGCAGAUCGAUUGGUUUUGGUUUACCUCGAGAGAACGUGGUCUUCACACCCGAGCGAUCCGUUUGAAGAACAUCAGAAAUAUAAUUAAACUUUCCUUAACAAAUGCACAUCCAUUGAUAUCGCUUUCCUAUGAGGUCGGAGUUAAAUUUCAAUUAAGAAAGUCACGACAUAUAUAGAACUCAUGAUCAUUUACUGCAGCUGAUGCAGUCUUAGUAGUCUCCCUCGCAUCCGUUCUUAGUGUCGGUCGUCACGCAACGCUCACACUAAAAACGGGUGCGAGGGAGACUACAGUCUUAGUUACUGAUGAAGGUCUGCUUGGUCAAGUCUUGAUGAUGUCAUAGUUAUCAAAGAUAUAAGCCUUCGUGUGAUUGGAGUAGCCAGUAUCUCAUGCAACGAGCUCACGCAACGGAAGUCAUAUUUUGUGAAAUGCUUACUUAUUUGCUCCAAAUUGGAGGAAAAAAAUUGAGGAAAAAAAGACUGUGUAUUGAAUGUAGGAAUAUUAUUAUUAUAUCAUUUCGAGAGAAAUUAAACUGGCUGAACGCUA